AGAGUUUGAUCCUGGCUCAGGACGAACGCUGGCGGCGCGCCUAACACAUGCAAGUCGAACGAGCGAGAGAGAGCUUGCUUUCUCGAGCGAGUGGCGAACGGGUGAGUACCGCGUGAGGAACCUGCCUCAAAGAGGGGGACAACAGUUGGAAACGACUGCUAAUACCGCAUGAGCCCACGGGUCGGCACCGACCAGAGGGAAAAGGAGCAAUCCGCUUUGAGAUGGCCUCGCGUCCGAUUAGCUAGUUGGUGAGGUAACGGCCCACCAAGGCAACGAUCGGUAGCCGGACUGAGAGGUUGAACGGCCACAUUGGGACUGAGACACGGCCCAGACUCCUACGGGAGGCAGCAGUGGGGAAUAUUGCACAAUGGGGGAAACCCUGAUGCAGCGACGCCGCGUGGAGGAAGAAGGUCUUCGGGUUGUGAACUCCUGUUGUUGAGGAAGAUAAUGACGGUACUCAACAAGGAAGUGACGGCUAACUACGUGCCAGCAGCCGCGGUAAAACGUAGGUCACAAGCGUUGUCCGGAAUUACUGGGUGUAAAGGGAGCGCAGGCGGGAAGACAAGUUGGAAGUGAAAUCCAUGGGCUCAACCCAUGAACUGCUUUCAAAACUGUUAUUCUUGAGUAGUGCAGAGGUAGGCGGAAUUCCCGGUGUAGCGGUGGAAUGCGUAGAUAUCGGGAGGAACACCAGUGGCGAAGGCGGCCUACUGGGCACCAACUGACGCUGAGGCUCGAAAGUGUGGGUAGCAAACAGGAUUAGAUACCCUGGUAGUCCACAUCGUAAACGAUGAUUACUAGGUGUUGGAGGAUUGACCCCUUCAGUGCCGCAGUUAACACAAUAAGUAAUCCACCUGGGGAGUACGACCGCAAGGUUGAAACUCAAAGGAAUUGACGGGGGCCCGCACAAGCAGUGGAGUAUGUGGUUUAACUCGACGCAACGCGAAGAACCUUACCAAGUCUUGACAUCCUGCGACGAUGCUGGAAACAGUAUUUUCCUUCGGGACGCAGAGACAGGUGGUGCAUGGUUGUCGUCAGCUCGUGUCGUGAGAUGUUGGGUUAAGUCCCGCAACGAGCGCAACCCUUAUGGUCAGUUACUACGCAAGAGGACUCUGGCCAGACUGCCGUUGAUAAAACGGAGGAAGGUGGGGAUGACGUCAAAUCAUCAUGCCCUUUAUGACUUGGGCUACACACGUACUACAAUGGCG
rnacentral:rRNA from 1 species